GAUGAACGCUGGCGGCGUGCCUAAUACAUGCAAGUCGAGCGAACAGACGAGGAGCUUGCUCCUCUGACGUUAGCGGCGGACGGGUGAGUAACACGUGGAUAACCUACCUAUAAGACUGGGAUAACUUCGGGAAACCGGAGCUAAUACCGGAUAAUAUAUUGAACCGCAUGGUUCAAUAGUGAAAGACGGUUUUGCUGUCACUUAUAGAUGGAUCCGCGCCGCAUUAGCUAGUUGGUAAGGUAACGGCUUACCAAGGCGACGAUGCGUAGCCGACCUGAGAGAGUGAUCGGCCACACUGGAACUGAGCCACGGUCCAGACUCCUACGGGAGGCAGCAGUAGGGAAUCUUCCGCAAUGGGCGAAAGCCUGACGGAGCAACGCCGCGUGAGUGAUGAAGGUCUUCGGAUCGUAAAACUCUGUUAUUAGGGAAGAACAAAUGUGUAAGUAACUAUGCACGUCUUGACGGUACCUAAUCAGAAAGCCACGGCUAACUACGUG
rnacentral:rRNA from 1 species